rnacentral:rRNA from 1 species
GACGAACGCUGGCGGCGUGCUUAACACAUGCAAGUCGAACGGAAAGGCCCUGCUUUUGUGGGGUGCUCGAGUGGCGAACGGGUGAGUAACACGUGAGUAACCUGCCCUUGACUUUGGGAUAACUUCAGGAAACUGGGGCUAAUACCGGAUAGGAGCUCCUGCUGCAUGGUGGGGGUUGGAAAGUUUCGGCGGUUGGGGAUGGACUCGCGGCUUAUCAGCUUGUUGGUGGGGUAGUGGCUUACCAAGGCUUUGACGGGUAGCCGGCCUGAGAGGGUGACCGGGAAGAGGGGGAAGGAGAGAAGGGCAGGACGAGGGAGGGAGGCAGGAGGGGGGAAUGGGGAGGAAGGGGCGGAGGCCUGAUGAAGGAACGCCGCGUGCGGGAUGAAGGAAUGAGGGUUGGAAACAGAGUGCGACGGUGAAGAAGAGGGAGUGACGGUAAUGGGUAAAGAAGCACAGGAUAAGUACGUG